UACAAAUAAGUAGAUUUUCUGCAAGGCUA
rnacentral:piRNA from 1 species